UCUAAGCCAAAGAGUAUAAUAAGUAUAUGUCUAAGCCAUGUGUUGGUUUGGUUUUUCUAGUCUAUAGUGAUCUGUGGUUGUGUAAAAUUUACGCAUGUGUGUAUUGCGAUGACAAAUACAAAAGUGAAAAGUCGUGCUAAAGUCUAAGUCUAAAAUACAAAAUAGUUAAUAGUAUUAACCUAAUAAUUUGUGGCUUUGUGCAAAAUAGAUACAUACAUAACUUACACAGAUACUAGGUUUGCAAAUUCUUCUAUAAACAGUCAAGACAAAAUGUUUCGUCUACCAUUUGGAGAAAGAGUUGACCCAUUGGAAGAAAAGCGUCAAGCAAGAGAAAACACUAUCCACAGUGUUCUCACUUUUUGUGUGUUGUGUGCUGCUAUUAGAAUUGCUCCGGUGGUGAUAGAGUACAGUGGGCUGUGACCGCCACAAUGGCCGGUAACCAGUGACAACAGCUCCACUCUACAAGUACACCUAACACGCCAUAGUCAUCAUAUAUGAAACAUGUAAUAAAUUAUUCUGACAGUUAA